AAGAUCUUUCCCUCCUUACUCCUCACAAAAGUAUUAGUUAUCAAUGGGACAAGCCAAUAAAAGACUUAUGGAGAGGAGAGGGGACAUAGCCUUUAUAUAGGAAAUAAUUGAACCGCCCCAUUACGACUAGAAUUCUAAUUAGGGUUUAUUUUCGACCCACAUACUUUAAAUUGCCACAUCAAAUUAAUUAUAACCCGUAAGGUAUAAAAUGCACAAUUGAUCACUUAAUAAAUUUGGUCAAAACACAAAUAUCAUUAUGAACUAUACAUCUAACCGGUAAAAUUUACAAUCGAAUGUGAAGCCCACGUAUGAAAUUAUUAAUUAUUCCAACACGACCACCUCAAAUCCACCAUUUCCUUCGCCUCUACCAAAAAACAACUAGCACCACCAACUUCGCCAUUACCUCAGAGCACCGCAAAUACCACCACAAAUACAGCCACCACCACAACUACACAAAACCAACAAAAAUCAAUCCAAAUUUUUCGGGCACCAAAUCGCGAUCAGAUCUUGACCAAAAUUUCCCAAUAUCGCGACCAAAAAAAUUCACACGACCAACAAAAUUCCAGCACCAAAUUGCAACCAAAUUUUCCCUAGAUCCCCCAUCAUUCACCGCUACGCAUCGUCGCACUACAGCAAUGAUGUCACAAUGUGUACAGUGGCUGCUACACAGCGUCGCUAACACCGCGGGCAACGAUGACUUGUCAUCGGGGCAACGACAUCCAAGGUGACAUCCAACGAAAGUUUUCGAAAUCUGGAGAUGGAAGAGAAUGAAAGAUGUUAGAGAGAGAGAAUAUAGGGUAGAGGAUAGAGAGAGGGAAGAGAAUAGGAAAAUGAUUAGGGUUUUGGAAUAGGUGGGAUGAAUAUAUAUAUUUAGUCUUGUAAUAUAAUUUCUGAUUUAUGAAAUAGUAAACUUAGC
rnacentral:lncRNA from 1 species